rnacentral:rRNA from 1 species
GAUGAACGCUGGCGGCGCGCUUAACACAUGCAAGUCGAACGGUGAAGGCGGAGCUUGCUCUGCUGGAUCAGUGGCGAACGGGUGAGUAACACGUGAGCAAUCUGCCCCUGACUCUGGGAUAAGCGCUGGAAACGGCGUCUAAUACUGGAUACGAGCUGCGAAGGCAUCUUCAGCAGCUGGAAAGAACUUCGGUCAGGGAUGAGCUCGCGGCCUAUCAGCUUGUUGGUGAGGUAACGGCUCACCAAGGCGUCGACGGGUAGCCGGCCUGAGAGGGUGACCGGCCACACUGGGACUGAGACACGGCCCAGACUCCUACGGGAGGCAGCAGUGGGGAAUAUUGCACAAUGGGCGAAAGCCUGAUGCAGCAACGCCGCGUGAGGGACGACGGCCUUCGGGUUGUAAACCUCUUUUAGCAGGGAAGAAGCGAAAGUGACGGUACCUGCAGAAAAAGCGCCGGCUAACUACGUG